ACCUCAUGAUUUGGGCAUAGAAUUAUCUUAUUAUUAAAUCAUUUCCAAGCCUCAUAUAAUGGUUCACUAUUAAUUUGGCAAAAGUUAAUGAUUUCAUCCCUUAGUUU
rfam:Capsicum annuum cultivar Zunla-1 chromosome 10, whole genome shotgun sequence